UAGAUUUGGGUAUAUUAAAAAAAGUUGAAAACAAAGAACUGAAACUGGCACAACUGGAAGAAAGAAUUAAACUAUUGACGGAAAGAAAGGAUUUAGACGAUAAGAUCUUGAAAUUAGAAAAACAAGCCUCGCUCCUAGUUGAUAAAACAGAAAAAAACAAGAUGAAGCCGAUUGUAAAGGUGCCGCAGAACCAUGCCCCCAGUUACAAAAGAAAAGAAAGGAACAUAUGGAAGUCGUCAAAGAAUCUUCGUGGAAUGAUUUUAUGGCUUGGCGUCGGAGCCACCCUGGUCCGAAAACAACGCGGGCGUACCAUUUUUGGAUUAAAAAUGAUUGCAAAGACCUUCCAGGCUUUGUUUGGAAGAAACGAGGGAAUGAUUUUAUAAAGAAAAAGGGGGACAGAACGAUUAUUAAUAAUUAUUAUUAAUAUUUAGUAGUAACAAA